CACGGGGGGAGCAAGCGUUGUUCGGAAUCACUGGGCGUAAAGGGCGUGUAGGCGGUUAGGUAAGUGGGAUGUGAAAUGCCUCGGCUCACCCGAGGACCGGCAUCCCAAACUGCCCGACUUGAGUAUGGGAGAGGAUGUGGGAAUUCCUGGUGUAGCGGUGAAAUGCGUAGAUAUCAGGAGGAACACCGGUGGCGAAGGCGCACAUCUGGCCCAAUACUGACGCUGAGGCGCGAAAGCUAGGGGAGCAAACGGG
rnacentral:rRNA from 1 species